CGGGGUGUAGCUCAGCCCGGUUAGAGCGCUUGGUUUGGGACCAAGAGGUCGACGGUUCAAAUCCGCCCACCCCGAC
rnacentral:tRNA from 1 species